rnacentral:rRNA from 1 species
UACGUAGGGAGCAAGCGUUGUCCGGAUUUAUUGGGCGUAAAGAGCUCGUAGGCGGCUCAGUAAGUCAGGUGUGAAACCUCCAGGCUCAACCUGGAGACGCCACCUGAUACUGCUGUGGCUUGAGUCCGGUAGGGGAGCGUGGAAUUCCUGGUGUAGCGGUGAAAUGCGCAGAUAUCAGGAGGAACACCAGCGGCGAAGGCGACGCUCUGGGCCGGAACUGACGCUGAGGAGCGAAAGCGUGGGUAGCAAACAGG